ensembl:lncRNA
GUGAGAAUUACCAAAAUGUGAGCAAAUGCAUUUGGAAAAAGGGCGCGAUAGACACAGGGUUGCUGCAAACCUUCAAUUUGUUACAAAAAAAAAAAUGCAGUAUUUGUGAAGCACAAUUAAACAAGGUAUGCCUAUGUUACAAGUCUAAAUAUAUCAUUUUACUAUAAACAUUAAAACAUUAAAUAAGACUGUUUACAUUUAUAAGACCAUUAAGUGCCAAGCACUAUACAAAACAUUAAAAAUGGUCAUAAUUUAUAACCUUACAAUAAUUGUAAAGUAUGUAUCUGGAAGAAAAAAAACUUUCCUACAAAAGAACUACACUAAAGUAUUUAAACUUACUCUUUAUAAUUGGCUGCUGGAUUAAAUGAUUUUUUUUAAACUCCAGGAACAGUCUGUGAGAAAAAAGCAAUGAACCUGAAUAUGGAUGUUUUGGGUUCCUAGCGUAUUAAAAGGAUAAUCAUGUCAGGAAAUAGGAUUAAUGCCCAUAAAGGAAUUGAUUUAGCAUAGAAAUUGCUUGCGGUCUUCACUGUUGUCACUUUUCUCUUUAGUGCCACCUUGUGGGUUAGCCAGUAACAGUAAAUACAUAGGGUAUGAAUUUAGGUUUUUUUCUUUUUCUUUCCCUCUGCCGUAAGAGUUUUUCAGGUGGUUCAGUGAUUUUUAAAAAAAAUCCAGCUGUUAAUGCAGGAGAUCUAGUCUAGAUCCCUGGGAAGAUCCCCUGGUGGAGGAAAUGACAACCCACUCCAGUAUUACUGCUUGGAGAAUUCCAUGGACAGACGAGCCUGGCAGGCUACAGUCUGAACUUACAGAGAGCUUUACAUGGCUGAGCAUGCAAGCAUACAUGCUGGGUUAGAGCUAGACUUUGUAGAGUGGCAAAACUCAGAGGUGAAGCAAUUUUCUUUUGUUUUCUCAGAGAAGCAACCACUUCACUAAAAGGUAUUUGCCAUAAUUCUGCAAUUGGACAUUUUAGACACCAGAACCGUUUCUCAGAGAUUGGAAAUAUUGGAGUCUACACAAAAAUCGAUGUUCAUUUACAGGAUAAUCACCAAACUUAUCUUGGAUAAUGUUCUUUUUCCCUACCUUCCAAGAUGAUUGGAGACAAAUCAACACUAUUCAGAAUCCAGUUAGCAUCAUGAUCUUAAUACACAAUGGAACUGUGUCUGUAAUGAGUAAUAAAUAUUAUG